UAUUGCGCAAUGGAGGAAACUCUGACGCAGUGACGCCGCGUGCAGGAAGAAGGGUUUCGGAUUGUAAACUGCUUUAGACAGGGAAGAAACAAGACAGUACCAGUAGAAUAAGCUCCGGCUAACUACGUGCCAGCAGCCGCGGUAAUACGUAGGGAGCAAGCGUUAUCCGGAUUUAUUGGGUUUAAAGGGUGCGUAGGCGGGCUUUUAAGUCAGCGGUAAAAAUUCGGGGCUCAACCCCGUCCGGCCGUUGAAACUGGGGGCCUUGAGUGGGCGGGAAGAAGGCGGAAUGCGUGGUGUAGCGGUGAAAUGCAUAGAUAUCACGCAGAACCCCGAUUGCGAAGGCAGCCUUCCGGCGCCCUACUGACGCUGAGGCACGAAAGUGCGGGGAUCGAACAGG
rnacentral:rRNA from 1 species